AUGGUAUAAAAACUGAAAAUUGGAACAUUGAUUUAUGUCGACCGAAAACGGAAACAUAAAAUAUAACAUUCCAUGCCUUGUGUUCCUCAAGUGGACACAUUUUGAUGUUUUUAUCUACAGAUAUUUAUAGUAGAGGAAGAGAAAGAUAUAAGUUUUAAGGAGAUAUGAAUUUUAUUUUACUCUUUAAAGAAGAUAUCACUGUGUACUCGUUGCAUAAGUUAGUAUUAUUCUCUUUACAUGUCCACUUACUUCGUAUUAUCGCUAUUUUAGGACGUGGGUAUCAUGCCCAUAAGUCGGCAUUAUCAUCUUUGGAUGCCUGUUAACUUCUCAAAACUAUAUUAUCUAAACCCGCGUCUCUCAAUAUUCAAACUCAUACCCUGAAGAGUCGGGUAGAUCAAGGCUUGGGUUUGAACAUGGGGAGAUGUUCUUUUAGAUAAUAAUUUUGAGGAGUCAAUAGGCAUCCGAUAAAAAGAUAAUACGUACCGAUUUAUGGCUAUUGACAUCGACACCCUAAAAAGGUAGCGGUACCGUGUUGGCUGGUGGGCUGUGAUAAUGGUAUCUUCUUUAAUGAGUACAACGGAGCCACCUCCCAUAAGAAAACUAGAAUCUAGUUAUUUAUGAAGUGGUGGUGGGGGUCAGGUCCCCCAGGACUUGUUCUCUCAGGCUGUUGAUACCCGUUUUUCUCAGCUUCUUUGUUCAGGUACUGUCUCCAGGCCUCGAUGGAUUGUUUUACAUUCGUCUUCUCUAUCAAGAGGCGACUUUCAGAGGCUGCAGACAAAAGUAAAAUCAAGGUAAGGCACAUCAGACACCUAAAGAUAGACAUUGUUGCUUUGACAUGGGAAGUAGAAGAGGCUUCCCGUAUUUAUAGACUUCCGAAUCAACUUAAUCACAAAGUGGAUGAGAGAUCGUUCAUCAAUCAGUCGACUGUAAAAUGUCAUCUGACUGGUAAAGACAAUCGAGAUCAUGAUAGCACAACUAAGUUUAAAAGCUGCAGAGACCAUUCUGACGACGCUUUGCCAAUAAGAUCUCCAUGAGCCAACAUUUAUUUUGGCGUAUUGCAAGUUUUUGGAUUAUUAAACUCGUUGUUGCCUAAUACUGAUUCUGAUUCAUUUACGAGGUUCGCAAC
rnacentral:lncRNA from 1 species